GCGACCCGGCGGUGGUGCAACGUGCGUCUGUCGCGGCACCCAGGCCCGGAGAGAGCCCUGCCGGGGUCCUCUGAAAGGAGGAUCGCGGAGAGGUUGAUGACCCAAAGGAGUUAUGGGGAGGAAGGGGCUGCCACAGCUCCCCAAAUAGGACCCCGGCCCGCAGCACCGCGGAGUGCGCGGGGGCUGAGCGGCGAGGGGAGAGCGGCGCGCAGGGCCCUACAGGGGGCGGGCUGGGGGCGCUCCGGGCCGAGUCCCCAAGCGCGUUAGGGAGGCUCGAGCCGGAGCAGAGGCUGCCUCUCCUAAGCCUUGGCUGCCCCCAGGGGCUAGAGCAGCGCGGCCGGGCUGGGGAAGCCGGGCACGCCCCUGGCCCAAACUUUCUGCCCCGGUGGCCCCGGACGGUGGGGGGCUCGCCCCAGGCGUCUGGGGCUCGCACCCUCGGGAAGGUGGUCUCCUGUGGCGUCUCUGGGUGGCGCGAGGCCGGUGGUCAUUUUGAUGCUGCGGGUCGCAGCCUCCCUUCCCCGAACGCGGAGCCUCCCCUGGCGCGCAGCCCUGCAGUGUUGGUGCGGGGACCGAGACGCGGCGCCCAGCGUGGAGGGGCAUUGGGAACCUGUCGGGUCCCCUAGCGGCCCUGGGAUCCCUGGUCUCACGUGGGGUGGGGUGGGAUGUUCCCGGAGUCCACUGGCGGGGGCGGGGGCCCAGCGAGGUGGGGAGAAACUCCUGGAUGACAGAGCUGCCUCCCCGUCCCCUUUGCGUUCCAGCUUUGGCGAGGGAGCUGAUUUAUUUAAUGAUCACUUUUAAAAAGGACUCCAGUGGAGCCGCUAGUCCCGACGCGCGAGACACCCCGCGGUGGAGGCUAAGGACAGAAACCCAAGGGAUCCAUCCGUGGGUUUAGGUCCCCCUUCCUGCCCCAGCGAGGUGAAGUCGCUUCUUGGGCGCUCCUGGUCGCUAAUUUCCUGCUGAAAACGCAGGCUGGACUCGGGGACACUUCGGGUACGCACCCGGGCGCCCCGGGCACUUAGCGUGGAGCAGGUAGGAGGCUAAUGGAGUGGGGUCGCCCGUAAUGAGGUCUUAGAGCCGGAAGCUGGCUUCGGUUUUACUGGUCUGCAAAAAAUAAUGAAAAAAAAAGUAUAAACAUUGCGGCAGAACCUGCUCAUUAAGUGUGCAUCGCGGAUUCGGGGCGGAUGUCUUAAUUAGGCUGCGUUGUUCACGGGGAUAUUACACUAAUUAAAACCAGACCCUCCAGGUGAGCGAAAAUUGUGAAGGGAGGGAGGGAGAAAAGUUGUCGAGAAGGCGCUCCCUGAUGAAAGCUGAGUAUGGGCCUCUUUGGGGGGCGCCCCAGGUCACUGAGCGCCAGCAGCAUGGCGGGGGCGGAGGAGGGGAGCCUUCUUAGAACCAUCCCGGCUUGCCUUCCUUCUCCGCCUCCUGCGGGCGAGGAGCUCCCUUUGGCCGAGGACCGAGGCUGGCCCCCCCGCCCCUCCCCCAGGACUGGAGGCCUUCCUGCGUGGGCGCCUCGCUCGCUCACCGCACACUCCUGGAAGCAACGCUUAACCCCUCAUUUCCUGGCUGACAGCUUCUGGGAGGGCAAGGCUGUCCCCAGGAGGGCGACAGAGUGGGUGACGUGGGAACCCCUGAAGGGGUUAAGGAGCAGAAGCACGGUUGAAGGGACGCACCCAAGCCGAGACAGCCUGGGCCUGGCGAGUUGGCUGCGUGCGUGCGUGCGGCAGGGGUUGCCACUGGUGCUGGGCUGUUUGUUGCAUGGCUGGGGUUUUCGGGCGUGAGUUGUCCAUUUCUAGCAGCUAUCUACUCCCCUUCCCCCAAAGGAAAAAGGGAACCUGGAUGAUUGCUUUGAUCCACCUUCCUCAGGUGCCUGGGGCCUAGAGAGACCCGUGCCCAGCCCGGGGACCUCGGGUCGCCUCGGGUUGCCAGGAGGAGCCAGGAGUCCAGGGAAGUCCCUAGGCUCCGCCCCUUACUCGGAUGGGCCUUUGCUGCAAACGCUCCUCACCCAGUGACCUCGGUCGGGAGCCACAGUGGGGCUGGGAGUAUUGACUGCCCUUCGGCAGGGACUAGAAGCUGAGCUGGAGGGAAGGUGGCAGCAUGGGCGGCCCCUGCCUCAGUGGCUCAGCAGGCACUUAGCGGGCGCCAGCACCAAGGACAGGGCCGAGGCCUCCACAACUUGCCCUCCUGGUCUUCCCUCCUCUACAUGGUCCCAGGGCCGCUGGAGGCGCUGCGGGCACCGGCCCUCAGGCUGCUGAGGACAUGGGGAGGGCUCCCAGGCUCAUUCAAGAGCCAGAAAAGCCCAGGGCCUGCGAAGAGGUAAUUACAGCAAGGAGGCCUCCUGGGUACCAUUCCAGAGUGGGCCUUCUGUCCUGUGCCUGUCACUUACUCAACUUGGAGCGUGGCUGAUGGCGCAUCGCUGAAAUGGAAAGAUUAUCAGGCUCUUUGGUGUCUGGGGAUGAACUAAGCACGGUAGUGGCCAGAGAAAAUGCCAUCUUCCCUGGCUGGUUCAGCCCUGCUGCCUCUCCCCUGCAGCCUUCUUUGACACCUCUCUCCCAGCCACAGUCAGCCCUGGCCUAAGGCGCCUUCACACUAAUGUGUGGCAGUUGGAGGUGCCUUGCUGCUGAGGGCGGGGGCCCUGCUUGGUUUAUCUGCCCCCUCCCCCGUAUAUGCAGAUGGUGGUCUGACCCAUGGCGCCUGUGCGAUUAGGAAGGAAGGAAUGCGUAAGUCAUGCUCCUCUCCUACUCAGAAGUGCCAGAGUGGUGGUGGUGGGGGGGACGCAGUAAAGAGAGGAAAACAUGUCAGUGGGCCAGAGCCACAGUGCUGAAUGCGAAACUGCAACAUUAUUUUUCAGCCCUUGCAGGGUGGGGCUUCCCUCCUCUAGCCCAGCCCAGCCCAGAGCCUGCAAGGUUUGGUCGGUUGUCUUCCUGUGUUUAUUUAUCUCCACACUCCUGCUUGAUACUCUGUUAUAAAGACAAAUGGAACCUGACACGCGGCUGACAUUUGGUGAGGAAUUUUUUAUUUUUAAACAAGUGAAGGGGGAAAAGCCAUCUUGAAACUUUCUUCCCCUUCAACAGAGACCCGUUCCUCGGGAACCUACCAUCCCCUAAAUCCCUGCCUGCCACUGGCCCCUGCUCCUGGCACAAGGCACUGGCUUCGUAAACACAUCCCGUUUGCACCUCCACCCUUGGAUAAGCUGCAGCAUCUCUCCACGCUCUUUCAUAAAGCAGCACGGCAUUUUCACAGGCUCAUGAAACAUUCAGACAGCCUCAACAUCUUAACUUUCUGCUGGCUCUCUGAAGUAGGCUGCUGUCUGAGCCAUCCCUGUCCUCUAUAACAUCCUGGGUCUAUCUCCCUCUCUUCCUGUCCGUCUGUCUCUUCCUCUCCCCUCACUCUUUUUUUCUCCUGUGCUUUCUGAGUGGUGCAGGUGCUUACUGUGUGAUUUCCUCCUUGCAUAACUUGUGAGGGUUGAGGAUGGCUCUUGGUUAAUGGUUGCAUGGUGAGCAUGCAAGGAGCAUUGCAUACAUACAUACGCUGUGCAUACACAGCGGGGCCUGCUCUGGGUUGAGGACUCAUAGACAGACGAGUCACCUCCCUUCAAGAAAUACCACGUGACACAGACUGAUUUGGUGUAUAAAAUAUAGACAUUUUUAAGUGCAAUGCACUUAGUAAAUUAGUUUGCUAUCACAGUUUCUCCAACACAUAAACUGACACCAAAACACGCCUUAAAGGGAGACUGGAAUAAUAAAGAGUAUAAAGUCUGUUACUUUAUUUGUAGCUUGGGGCAAGCUCACAGUCUAUCAGUUGCAUUUUGAAAAGUGUGGUCAGGUUCUAGGUGGAAGGAGCCGUUCUGGAUGCAUCUUGCUUGGGUGCCACGUGCGUCACCCUCUUGGCCUGGGAAAGGACCGUCCAUCAUCUUUAAUUUAGGGGCUUAGGGAUGUGCUCCACUGUGUGAUAGGACUCGUACGGAAAUUACAAGUGCUGAGUGGACAAGCAUGUUUUCUCCCAAAGCAAAGGCCAACUCUCGGGUGCAGGGAGCUUGGUGUCAUCAGGCGUCUGAUCCUGGCCCUUACCUGUAAGACACAUGGGGGCCUUGACUGUUCUGGCCAGGCAUCCUUCUGGUUUCUUCCUGGUCUCUAGACAGACCAGCAGCUAGAGAUGGUCUCCUUGCCCCUCCUCUCUCUCCUCACUGCUGCUGCCCCUGCCAACUCUCUGCACUCGAAACAUUGACAAGACAAUGGUACUGAAGGCUCUGCAGUCAGGGGAAAGGGGGCAGAAGAACAAGGGAUGGGGUGGUCUCCUCUAUGGGGAGUGUUCCCCUUGUGGGUAGAGUAAGCUACAGCUUGGGGAGGCUUUUUAGAAGUGAAAAUCAGUCUUCCCUUGGAUCCAUCUCCACUCCUUCCGUGUAGGUCGGGGCCAGGUCCUGCGGGUUCCACCUGAGAAGUGGGUUGUAACUUGCUGGUGUCAACUUGAGUUGGGGGUCCUCAGCCUCCGUGGUUUCCUCUUAGGACCAAGAGCCAAGCACUUGGUAUUGCAAGUUUUCUUUUAAGGUUUAAUUAUUUGUGCUCAGAACAUAUUCCCAGCAGAAAAAAGAAAGAGGGAGAAUAUAUAUAUUUUUAGAAGGAGUUUACUUGCUUGUUGCUUUGGUUAGCGGCUGUGCUGAGAGCUUUCUCCCAAGAUUCCAGAAGAACAGAGGCCUAGGCGGAGCAACUGCACCGUACCUGGCCAUCUCCCUCCUGGACCCACCACUGGCCAUCAGCUCCGUAGGCACAGGUCUCUGCUUGGCUGGCUGCUCCAUACUUGGGAAGGUGAGCCCACCCUUCCUUGAGCGCUGGGCUGUGAGUGGAAGCCAGCUGGCGAGGAAGGUGGCCGGGUAUGUCUGUUUUAGCCCUUUUAGAAAAUAAUCCCAUUUGCAGGCGAGGAAAUUGCCCGAGCAUAGAAAGCUGCCACCAGCCAGCCCCUGAACAGUUUCAAGUCCUUGUUUGGGGGCCCGGUUGAGAUCAUAACAUGUAUCUUUUGUACUAGAGAGGAGGAUCCUGUGUGCCUUUAUAUCUCCAAGGCCUCUUGUCUUGCUUCAAAAAUUCUCCCUCCAUCAAAACAAACACACAAAAGUAACCCGGACCUCCAGAUCGGAUUCUCUUCUGCAGGGCCACCAAUACUGUAGUGGAGGCAGCGUACCAGGCAAACCAAGGGCACUUUCAGAGUUCUGCCCAUGAGCAGCCCGAACACCACGGACUGCAGUCCUCACCCACGUCUCCUCGUCUGUGACACCAGAUGAGACCCAGGGAUGAAGAUGGCAGGAACGGUGGCCCCCAGAGUCCAGGUGCUUCUCCUGCCCUUGCUCUCAUCCUGCGGUUCGCAUCCUUGGACACCAAGCAAAUGCCCAUUCCCGGGUCAGGCUCAUGUCUCCGAAUCGUUUGCUUUUAGGCAAUGGUCAUGAGAACAUGGAGGAGCAGGCUGUCCUCAGCAAUGAGACUUUUAAUGGAAAAAUGGGAACCUCCUUUGGAACCAAAGGACAUAGAGUUUCCUUGUAUUAGGAAGGUCCACAAUUUGGAGAAAGAUUUAAAGCAGUACAAACACCCUGGUGCCUUUAGAAAUCAUUUCUCACUAAACUUUCAUAACUCCAAACUCUUACUCAAUGCCAAUUAGAGGUUUCUCUCCUGGAUUACAUCAAAAACAACUCCUAUUUUUUUCUGGAACUUUUGAGGGCAGGGGGCUGGCUGAAGCUCCAGGGUCUGUUCCUAAGAGCUUCUGGGCACCUUGGAAUCAAGCACCUGAUGAUGGUGACCUCUUCUUCCCCACCCCAGCCCACCCCACCCCACUUUUGAAAAAGCAAUGGCAAGAAGGGGUUUUUAGCCUUUUGUUUUCAGCAACGAGGUAUGAGGAUGACUUUCUAGUGCAUCACAUGGGAGAGCCACACACACCAGUAUGUCCCGACAUUACCUGUCACCUUGAGAUCCGCGUAAAAAAAGGAAACCCAGAAUAUGCUUUAAACUGGGUCCGUGGAUAGGCUCCCGAUGGGCUCUGCAAAGCCUACUGACCUGCUCUUGACACUUGCCCUUCACCCUUCACCCUGGAGGUGUGGCUGAGUCUUCACCUGGUUAGUUUUCGUAUUCAUGGGAGGUUCUGAGGUUGUACAUCUUGGCAACUCCCCAAUCCCAUCAGCUCAUUCUUAUAAGACUCACCCUUUGCCCCCAGGGCACACACAGUUACAUGCACAUUGAAAUGGAAGCGACUUCUGAGCAAGGCAGUAUGUCAGUUACUUUUCAUGAGACCUUAAAGCCCGUCAGGGCUGGCCGCACAACCUGUGGGUGUGGUGAGUGGAUUCGGCCUGCACCUGCUGGCUGGUGUGAGGGCUCUGGGCAGGGACAGCCUGAGGCCAGAGCUGACUUCUGAUGGUGGCAGGGUUGCCUGCAGCAGACCGCUGGAGAGGGCGUGCACCCUUCCCAGCCUUGUCACCCAGGGCAGGCUCUGGAACCUCAGUUUAGCCAGCUGAGAAGCAGGGACUGCUGCGUGGAUCAGGGGAUCUAUGUAAAGCUGCUGACGUGGUAAAUGGUACCCUUCCCUGGGGCUAUCCACCUGGUAGAGGGAAGAGCACGUUGCUAGGGUUAGGAAGGGUCAGGGUUAAGGAAUGGAUUCCGAACUGUUCCCUGUGGGCACAAUUAUGAUGCUGCUUUAAAAGAGCUCCUGAUAAACUUGCAGAUGCUAGGAUGGAAACAACCCUUAGCAUGUCUCUAAAGAGAGGGAGGGGUCUGAGGAGACCCCCCCACUCCCUCGGGCCUGGAAGGGCUCCCUGGAGCAGCCCCCAGCAGCUCAUGUCCUUAGGAACACCCUGAAGCCAGGCAGAAGGAAGUGAGGUCCUGUCUGUGGGGCCAUGGACUAGGUGGUUACCCUGGUCAGGCCAUCCAGGGGGCAACAGGGCUCCUGCCUGUGCUGUGCCCCCGCAAUGGGCCCACUGUGCUCUCCCCAUGCCUCCACUGCCAGCGGGGUGUCAAGAGUACCACAGGGAGGCCGGGGCAGGGUGGCUCACACCUGUAAUCCCAGCAUUUUGGGAGGCCAAGGCAGGGAAUCACCUGAGGUCAGGAGCUCAAGACCAGUCUAGUCAACAUGGUGAAACCCCGUCUAUACUAAGAGUACAAAAAAUUAGUUGGGUAUGAUGGUGCACGCCUAUAAUCCCAGCUACUCAGGAGGCUGAGGCAGGAGAACCACUUGAAUCUGGGAGGUGGAGGUUGCAGUGAGCCAAGAUCACACCACUGCACUCCAGUCUGGGCAACAGAGCAAGACUCCAUCUCAAAAAAAAAAAAAAAAAAAAAAAAAGAAAAGAAAAAAAAAGAGUACCACAAGGAGAGAGGGGCACUGCAGCAGGUCCUCUUGCUUUUGCAAAGGGAGUGGCAUUGGAUCAUCAGGGACGAGGCUCCAAACCAUGCCAGUUGAAUUUCCCCUGAGGGAGAGGAAAGGAAGGAGGAUCAUGGCCUCCCUCCCCCAGCCCUUCCCGGGCUCCUUUGAGCCUACAGUUUGCAGCCACAUUGCUUACCGUGCAGGCUGAGGGAUUCCAGCCCACCCCUGCCUUUCGUGUGGAUAUGUUUUUGGAUCUCAGGUCUCAAUGCAUGAAAAACUGAAGCACAGCUUUGCAAAGCCCAUUAGAAAAAAAACAAAGUGUGUGCUUUUAUUCUUUCUGGAAUAUUGCCUAUCAUUGAUGUGAGGCCAUUAGGCACAGCUGGGGGCCCCACGGCAGGGACGGGUGAAGUGGAACCAGAGACUGAGGGGCUUCUUCCACAGGCUCCUUGUAGACCUGGGACGGGGCAUGUGGUUCACCGGUGUCCCUGGCUGCGUGCCCCCAGCUGCUGGGGAGGAGACCAACAGUGGUUGAUUGUGUUCCUCUCAGGGGUGCUAUCCAAGGGUACAUUAUUCAAGUAUUUUGGAAUCUUGGCAGAAAAGAGAAGAAAUUUAAGGUGAGAAUUACUGUUGUCAGUGGCGUAACAUUAUAAUCAACACUCCCAGAGAGCCAAUGCUGUGUUGAGCUUUAUCGUCCAGAAGUCUGUUUGAUAUCUUGACAGCUGGGAACCUUUAGCUGAUGGCCAAAGGGUGGGAGGGAGAGCAGGUGGACGAUGGCCUGUGUUUGAUAGGGGAGCCUGUUACCCUUUUCCUCACUGUUAAAGCCUUGUGAUGGUGUCUGGGACAACUUUACGGGAUGAUUAAAGGCCAUCUUCCAGUGGAUACAUUUUUCUUUCUCACCGGCAGAUCUCAUCCUAGGACAGUUGAGAACGAUACACCUAGAAUCUGCCUGCUUUUAACUCUAACAGCAUCCUUGGGCCAUGGACGGGGGGCUUUCUGCAGAUCUGCCCUUUGUGUUUGAAAAUACAUCUGCCUGUGUGUGUGCGUUGGCAGCGUUGCCAUAACCAGCAUUCGCUUUCCUGACUUGCCCAGGCUGCAGCAUGCAAGAUGAGUGUUGCAUGGGUACCUCCCCGCCUCUUAGACUUUUAAAAUAGAGCCAUCUCUCCAGAACAGACGGGCACAACUAAGACAGGUCACUGAUAACAGUAUCAGUAUCUACAUGCUAAAGACACAGCUCGCCUCAUUUCCCACGGGGUUCUUUCCUUGGUACAAGUCACCCAGGAGACUGACUUUGGGAGAAGUAAUUUCUCCCCGUUCCGGGUAUGUUUUGCUCAAAAUCUAAGAAGAAAACUCACAAGACCAGACUAGGAAAAUUUCAGCCCCCAAGGAUAAUUUUUCAGAAAGUAAUGAGCACUAGAAAAUGAGGGCUAUAAAGGAAGUCUUUAGGUAAUAAUCGUAACUAUAAUGUUCAUCACUUUGAAGUGCAUUAAUAUAUACUAAAAUUACAGAAAAUAUUAAGUCUGCUGCAGGGGAAGGGGGCGUGCUUUGGAGCUUGUGGCUAAACCUCCUGGACCAGCUCGGUUCUCCAGGCCACAGCUGGGGCUAUGUGGCCCCUGGCCCGUCCCUGCCCUCACAGAGACACCUGCCCUAAGAGAGGAUCCUGUGGCCCUAGCUGGGGCCCAGUUGCAGACACCAUGAAGGCUGGAUGGAGAAGCAGUAUCCCCCGCAGCGGGCUCCUUCUGGGGCUGUGAUGUUUUAUAGCCUGGCAAGGGAAUGCCAAGACUCCCUAAGGGCCUGGCUCACUUUAUCAGGGUCCUGCUGCUUGAGAGCGGGAGCCUGGGAGACGAGGUGUGUAGAUGCCCCAGACGUGGCCCCUGGAGGCUGCAGUCAGGCUGAGGCAUUCAUUCCUCCGCAGUGGUCCUGGGGUGGGGGAGCAGCCGGAGCAUGGCUGUGGCGGCCGCAUGCUUUCUCCUGCUGCCUGGCUCUCUCUGUUCCCCUCCUGACCCCUGAGCCUCUGCCUCUCCUGCGUUCCCCUUCCUCACUCCCCUCUUUCACCUUCAGAGCUAGCGGACUUCUCCAGGCUGCAUGUAGGCGAGGGGCUGGCAAUUGGAGGUCAAGCAGGCUGAGCUUGGAGCAGCGGGAGGAAAGAUUUACGGUCCUCCCUGCCCGGCUUGAUGGACAAUUAAAGCCACACACGGUUGGAGGAGAGCAGUGUCGUGAAGAGUCAGGAUGGUCAGAAUAAAUCAGUCACCUCCACUUAGACGGCUGAGCUAGACUGCUUCCCCUGGGGUGUGGAUUUGAAGGUUCCAGAAUGGGCUGUUCAAAGGUUUGGCAUACUCUGAGCUCCAUCAGAGUCAGAGCCUGAAGACCCUGGGGGUCUCCUCACAAAUGGGGCGUGUGCUGUAGGGAAUUAAGGGAAAAUUCUGGAUAAUGUGUUUAGAGGGCAUUUUGUUUCCAGGGUACCUGGCAUCUGCAAGAGUCUCAAACCUGAAUGUUUGGGAGUCAGGAUAGUGGACCCCCACCUGCAAGCAGAGCGUGUGCACGCAUGUGCUUGUGUAUGCUUGUGCACAUGUAUGUGUGCACAGGUGUGUGCACAUGUGUAGAUUGUACAUGCAUGUGCCUGUGUGUAGAGUGUGCACACAGGCAUGCAUGUGCAUCCUGUAUGUGUCCAUGUGCGUGCAUUUAUGUGCACAUGCACAAGUGUGUUUCUGCAUUUGUAUGUGUACCCACAUGUACCUGUGUGCAUGCAUGAGCAUAUGUGUGCCGUACAUGUGUGAGCACAUGUGUGUGUCGUGUGUGGGUACUAGUGCUUGCCUCUUGGACAUCGCAGGCUCCACUUGUGUCUUUAAACACACACACCCUCUGCAAGGCUGCCGGGAGCUGGGCUUCUGAGCAUCCGCCAAGCCCUGCGGCCGUCCUUCUUCAUUUGUUCUGUGUGUUAUUUCAGUACCUUGAAGACUCUGGCAAUUUCCUCAAGGAAACUUUGUCUUUGUGGAAAUGAGAUGCCAGCACUCCUCGGCCCUCCCACUGGCUAAUUGAUGAUAUGAUCCCGCGUGGGAGACUUGCCAUUCCUGGAAAUGCUCUUUAUUUCGUGGGCCCCCCCGCCCCCUGCCCGCCAUCGUCUGAUUUCUACGAGCUGCUGCAUGUGAGGUGCAGGGCUGGGCGUUUGCUGUGACUCAGCCCAUGUGCCAGGCCUUUCAUUAACUUGGAUACUACAAUUAUGUGCGCCAAGAGACUGCGAGGGCCAUUUAGGAUUUUUCUCCCUUUAAGAAAAUAUUCCUUUUUCCCCAGCCAGGUAGCCCAGCCCUUUGCCUCUGCAGCUGUGGCCCAAGCUGUGUGCUGGCCCCAAGCGCUUCUCAGCUCUCCUGGCACCGACCUGCAACAAACUCUUGCUGGGGGGCUGGGGCUCUGCCAUGGUUCUGUCGGAGGUGUGCAGCAGGUGGUCAAGGCAGCCUGCCCUUGGGAGCCACAGGAUGUGACCUGCUGUGGCGGCUUCACGGUCACGGUGUGAAUAGCAGCAUGCGUGCUUUUGUGCCUGUGUGAGCACACACACACCCCAUCGGCACACGCGAGGAUGACCUUUGGCACAGCACACCUGCUGCUGUGGCCUGCACAGAGAAGGGCUGACCCCAGGACAGCGGCUCCCAUUCGCCUCCAUCAAGGCCAGCUGGACCCUUCACGGGGCCCUGGGAAUUUCCGAGUGUGGGCCGUGGGGUCAUGUCAUGUGGGGAUGGAGUUGCACUGGUCUCCUGCACACACGCACGCUGGCCAGCAUAUUCGUAUGCUCGCAGGGGUAGCCUGACCCUCUUCCUCCACUUAGGAGAUGUAUGCAUGGAAACUUGCCCCUGUGGGUGUCUUGGGAUGAAUAUUUGGGGUCCUGGGGGGUCUGGAUUGCAGAGUAACUGGGUACUGUAAGAGUUCCUCUAAAUGUCGGGUCUCUUGGGGAGGGGGAGGCAUGCAGCACUUCUGUGGGUGGGUGGAAGGUUGAGGAGGGGCCACCCUGGCUCAAGGUCACCCCACGGGGAGCAACCUGAUCUGAGGACAGACCUGCCCGGGACUCUGGGACUGAGAUGAGACACUUGCUUCCCCCUUCAAAGGUCGUGAGAUUCUGGGGGCACAGGCUGCCUUCCAUAUGGUGCCCACAAAGCUCAUUAAAAGCACCAUUCAGAGGCCUUAUCUCCAAAAGGAAGGCAAGAGUCCAACCCACCUAAGCACCAAAUAACUCAACAACUCAAAAACUUAUUUUUUUAAACUUCCUUGAGUUGCCAUGGUUACUUGCACGGUCCUUGCGUCUCUGUUGCUCUACGUGGAGCUGCUUGGAGGAGGAAUUAAAACCUCCAGGGUUCACCCCUUGGAAGGGCCUGUUUGUGCUCCUGUGUGGAGGAAAAGAGCUGGAGAAGGUAGGGAUCUUCCAGGACCAUGGGAUGUGAUUUUCCAACAUUGCACUUCUGAGAUGCUGGAGACGGAAUUUGUCUCCCACGCUAAAAUAAUUAUAGCCAGGAGAACAGAGAAUACAUCAUUCUAAGUUAAGGUCCUUAACAACGAGGAGGGUGUGUGCGCGUGUGCAUGUGUGUGAGUGUAUGCGCAUGUGCGUGUGUGUGUACGUGUGUGCGUGCACAUGUAUGUGUGUGCAUGAGCGUGUGUGCGUGUGCAUGUGUGUGUGUGUGCAUGUAUGCGUGUGCAUGGUCGUCUCUGCAUUGCCACCAACUUCCUCCUGGAGUGCUCUUUUGUACUGGCCACGUGUGUAAAGGCAGUGGCAGCUGAGGCCCCUGCACCUGUUGGCCGGCCUCCAGCAGGCAGUGCUUCCUGCUCCUGUGGCUUGUGCCCAGGCAAUGCUACCGAGGUGCAGAUAUCUGCAGGGGGGUUUUGGGGAGAAUUGCUAGUGAGGGAUGGGAAAGAGGGUGGGUCAAGGAGGAAUAAAGAAACCAAGACUCCUUCUGACCAGGCUCCUCUGUGCUCUUCAGACUGUGGGGUUCCAUCCUCCUACCUGCCAUGGCUCCGUGGGGAGUCCCAGGGCCCAGAUGUGGCCCAUGCAGCCCAAAAAUUAGCUGCAAAGAGGAGAGUUCAUGCUGUGGGCCAGCGGUUUGCCCUAAAUGCCCCCUGUCUGGGGUCCCAUUGUUUCUCCCCCAUGGGAUGGACAGACUGGCAGGUCAUUUCCACUUUGGGGGCCCUGCAGCCCCAGUGGCUUUUGGGGGUGUCUGCUCCCUGCUGGCCACAGGGAGAAGCUGUCCUCCCUCUCUCCUGGGAAGGCAGGAGCCAACCCCUGCCUACAGGGGGCACUUAGUAGGUGACUGUGGAUGCAGAGGCUGAAAUCAGGUGGUACCUUCUAAGUGUCAGGCUGUAGUGACCGGUGAGGAGGGCCUUCCCAGACCCUUCUUGUCCCAAGUGGUCUCAACCUUUCCCUCUGUUUCCCGCCUCACUAGGCCAUCCCUUCCUCCUGUCAGGCCGGGAGAACUGCUCCCCAGUGCUGGUGCUGGGCCACAGGGCCACACACAGGAUGACAGCAGAGGGCUCAUUCUUGGCCAGGGCUCUUGUUUUCCCUCGUGCCUCCUCUUUCUGCCCCGGGUGGGGGCGGGCAGAAAGCCCUUCUACAAGUCUGUAGGAGGACUGUGUCUGUCUUGCCAUCUUACCCGGCCAGCCCUCUCUCAUUCCCAAUGCAAACCGGAGUCCCUGGAGCACAGCUGGGCUGGCAAGACCAGAUUCCCCAAUUUGAGGCCAGUCUUGCUUUUCCAUGGCUGGGAUAUUUUAGCAGCAAGACAGGAGGUGAUCUCAGGCUCCUGCAUUGCCUUUUUGGCAAACUCAUGAGCUCGCAGUGUGAGGACAGGUGCUUUCUCCAGGAAGCAUUUGGGGUGACUGUGUGCGGCAGCCAGGGGGGUCUCCCUCAUGAAGUCCUUUCUUAUGUGUGGCCAGCAGGAGGGAGGCCGAGGCCAGGGGUGACCCCAGCAUUUCUCUUGCAGAGUCCUAGGAGUGGCUUGGCUCAUUAAGUAGAUGGUGAAGGCCGAUGGGAAGGUUUUGGAUCCUUCUAUCAACACGGGACAUAGCGAAGCCAUAGGUUAUCAUUGGGUGUAUCUAAGGCGGUGAGCAAGUGGGACGUACUGACGUAGACAGGCACGCAGAGGACAUGAGAAGCAUCCACAAAGCCUUCCUCUGGGCCUGAAGUCAGCACCUGCUUUCCAUAGCACUUUCUGGGAGCUGUAAUCAGCACUGAGAAGGAAGAGCAAAAAAUCACAGAUCCUGGUGGGCGUCUGCAGCUCCGUCUCCCGUGUUGGGCUGUAAGUGCUUUGCGGGCAGGGGCUGCAGCUGAUCCACAUCUCCCCAGAGCACCCAGCAUGGCUCUCCGCUCAUAGUCCGUUCUCCGUCAACAUUUGUUGAAUUCUGACAGCUGGCUGGGGGGCAGGGGUCUUUGUGGCUCAUUAGCUCUGUGGCCAGGCUGGGCCCACGGUGGGUGGCCCUGGUGGGUUUCCAUGCCUUGGUUAUUUCUGCCUCUAGAGGCUCCACUGAGAAGGGGUGGGAGGGUGUGCCGGAGGCCCUGGUCCACCCCUGGCUGGUGCUAGGCACACUCUCUCCCUGCUAAUCAGAGAGCCCCAGGGCCUCGGGGCACAGGGCUGUCAGAGGGACAAGGACCCUGGUGAUCUGCAGGACAGUCACUGUGGUUUCUGGCCCAGAGAGGAAAUGGGCCCUGGUUCUGCCCUGCGGGUUCAGUGGGGCUGUGCAUCAGCCCCAGGAGCUUCCUUCCCUCCUUCCCUGGAAGUGAACCUUGGAGCUUGUGCGAUUGUUUCCCAGAACCAGAGUCAGCUGCCAAAUAGAGCAGACUGCCUCCGAAAGGGGGGUCUCAGAUGUCUCUUUGAGCCACCCCUCUUUCCUGGGCUUGGAGUGAGGAGUAGAUGAGAGGGAGGGAAAAGUACCAGGGAGGUUCUGGAUUGCUCUAGAAGAUGCCAGAUAAUUCUGGAAGAUAUCCUGAGACUCCUCCAGAUGUGUGACCCUGGGGCCAGCUGCAUCCUUCGGAGCGUAAUAUACCCCGUCCACAGGGGAGUACACUCGUGAUUAUUGAUGCUAAUGGAAAACAGAAGUGGAAUGGAUAAUUCAAGAUGGCAGAUGAAUCAAUAUUAUUUAUAUUUAGCCUGUGAAUGCGCUGCAUAUUUCUCCGCUGGCAGAUUGGGCUUCACAAUUAUGUUUUGCAGAAUCCAAGAAUUUGCUGCCCACGGGCCAAGGGCUGCCACCUUGCUCUUCCUCUAGGAGGGUUUUUGGAAAGCAUAGGAGCCCCUCGUGACUUGGCGGCCGGCUUAGAGGGAGGCGCCAGGUCCGUCCUCCCCUCUGCGCGGCUGGCAUGCCACUUCCCACAGGUCUCCCCGCUGCUAACACACUCCCUGCAGCCGGGGAUUGGUUAAAAGCGUUAAAGAGAGAAUGGCCUAUUCAUACACACGGUGGGUUUUAGGCAGCUGCUUUUCAUGGAUGUGGAAAGAGAUCCACAGUCCAUUUUAGUGGAAAGGAAAGAUGGCAGAGCUGUCAGUGUGAUUUAAUCCUAAAGCAUGUGGACCUGGUGCACUGUCUUGUCUUCAUCUGGUAUUCUCAGUGCUUAGCCCAGUGCCUGGCACAAAGCAGGUGCCCAGCGAGCGGUUGCUGACUGAGCAUGUUCUUUGCUGGGGCGCUGUGGGGCUCAGUGGCGGGAUCAGGUUCCUGGUCUGGGGACCCAAGUCUGCUGCUCCAGGGAGCUGUGUGUCUGCGCGCCGGUUUCUUUCUGGUGAGCUUGACCUUGCACCUUGGUGGCCCCAUUACGGUCAGCCUCGGCACACCUGGAAAGUGGCUCCUUUCUCUCAAUGCCGAUGGCUCUCCAGGCGGGGGUGGGGGUCAUUCAUCUUGUUACUGCAAGGGUGAGAUGGGGAGCGUCAUCCCAGGGAGUGGGAUCAGCGUCUCCUGGGGGUGUGUCCUGAGGACUCCGUUCUUGGUCAGCACUUGUGCCAAACAUGGUCCCGUCUGGUCUCCUCUUUGAGGACCCAGUAAAUGCAAACCUUCUGGCCCUCUGUGUCGCACCCACAGGGGAUGGAGGAUAAGAGGAACCACAUGUGAAAACUCAGAAAUUGCCAGUGGAGGCUUCUGAGGGUGGCUUCUGGGGUGUGCCGAGGGUGGGGAAGCGCUGGGUGGGUGCUUCCUUGCGUGUUCAGAGGUGUCCCUGGAAGGCCUCACGGCUGCCUACACCCCUGGACCCUGGACGCCAGAACCUUAGUGUGGGCGUGGUGCUCUUUGACAUCCAAGUUUAAAAAGAUGGCCUCUGAUUUGUAAGGUGCCUUAUGUUAGACGUCACAUUGAUUUACAUCUCUAUAUUUAAAAAAUUGGCCCUGCUCACACUGCCCUCAAGGAAGAGUACUGUCGGGUCCUGUGGUCCCAGGGACAGAAACAAGAACCUUGAGGUGCUGGGUUUGUGUGGCUCGAGUCCUCCCUGCGCAGGGGCUGGGCUGCACAGCCGGCUUUAGGCCCAGGUGGCCCUGGAGUGGACAGCUUCUGAAGUCAGCAUGUGGGAGGCAGGGCCUGGAGGGGGUUGGCUGGUGGUGUGAACAGGAGCAUCUGGGGACAGCAAGCUAUUUCUGUCUCUUUCCUUGCUGUGGCCUGGGUGCCUCCAGGUGCCUCCAGAGGGUCAGGGCUAUGUCUUCCACUUCUUGUUUGUCCCUGCUGCCCCGCAGAGUGCCAUUUCCACAGCUCCAUGUGCAGAAUCUUCUAGAAGAAAGACCUUGUUUCUGGACUAACCCCCUCAGUCUUAAAAGCUUCCACGGGUCUUAAAGAACAUUCCAGCGCCGUCUCAGCCCUUAGUUCUGAGACCCUUCUACUUCCGGUGGAGAAGGGGGGUCAGGAGACACCUCUACCCUCUCUGGCACAUAGUAAGUGCUUAAUCAAUGUUGCGAGAAUGCAGGAGGGACGGUUGCUCUGUCCCGAUGAGUCAGACACAGGCAGGUUCAUCUUCCUCAAUUGCGUGCUUCCUCUGUAUCCCCUUGAACCUAAAAACAGCUAUCUCAGGAAGAGGGAGGACAGAGAGUUUGACUGAUGGAUUCCCCAGGUGCCCCAACCCUUUGGUCCAAGUGCCUCCCCACCCAGCAAGUGCCAGCAGGUUUUGGUUUCUGUCCUGGAGCCCUCUGGUGCCAUACUCUCUCCAUUUCCUCUCCUGGCCCUUGGGAGCAGGGAGAACAGACGUUGGGCCGCCGCAGAUGACCGACUGCCCGAGGCCGGGACCUGAACUGGUGCCCAGUGUGCCCAUCGGGUUCUGUUGCUCCCGGACUCCUCUUGUCGUUUUCAAAAUCAAGAUACAGAAAAGAAAACUAACAUGUGUAGGAGCCACAACCACAUCACAAAGUUAUCUAAAGUGAGCAGGCCACUCUGGUUCUCAGAAAUUAGAUUAUUUUAGAGUUUCAUUGAAUUAAGAAAGGAGUCCUCCCUCAGUGUUCCCAGCUCUCUGCCCCUUCCUCUGGUAGCCCCUCUCUCCACGCCCACCCUCCCGCGGCCGAUGAGAGAUUUUCUGGCGGUGUCAAGGCAAUGUGACCUGGUUCUGUAAUAAGGAGGAGGCUUAUUAGAAUGAAGGCCUAACAGCGUUAAAAAAGCAGUCUUUGCAAGAUUGAGGCCACAGGGGAAUUGUAAAUUCUCAGCAAAGACCUCAUUUAAGGAUUGGAAUAAAAACUCGGCAUGCGUGUACAGGCGUGCACACAUGACGUGCCCUCCAGAAGCAGACUUAGUUUACAAAAAAAGAGCUGGGAGAAGGAGGGAGGAUUGGGAGCUGCCAGGGAAGGGCAGGUGGUGUCCGUGCUGGUGGGAUGUGGGGUCUCCUGGGGGUGUCUGCCUGCCGAGAGUAGGCUGUGGACACACGUGUUCUUCUCUCAUGGGUUUUCUCUGCACCUGCACCCCUCCCUGGAGCAGCUGCCACCCACCUCUGUCCCCCGAGAGUGGCAAGAGCCCAGUGGGGGCUGCCUUCCCUGACCCCCACCUCCGAUCACUCAUGCUUUUCACCUGGUGGUUGCUGCCACUAAGCAGUCUGUGGUUUGGGGCCUGCCAGGUCAGGAGUGCAGGGGGCCACAGGAGCAGGGGUAUGGGGUGGAGGGUGUGCCAGGUCAGGAGUGCAGGGGGCCAUGGAAGCAGGGGUGUGGGUGGUGAGUGUGCCAGGCUCCUUCUGAGUAGUGAGAAGGGGCAGGGGAGCACAUGGCUGUGGGAUGAAGUCUAAGGUGCUGCCGUCGUACAGAACAUUUGGGAUGUGCCAGGACCACCUGUACAUUUCCCUGUCAAGGGUCCCAUGCUGCAGUGCCGUCUGAAACAGACAACAGCCUUGGUUUGGGCCUGCCGGGACCACCUUGGGAGUGGCUGUCCCUGGGAGAGUCCUGGCGUCCUGAACCUGCUUGUCCUGGGCUCAGCUCAGUGGGAGAGGAGGGAGUGUGUUCACAGAGCAGGUGGGAGUGUGCAAAGGGAACCACUCCCCACCCAGCCUUCCCAGGAACAGGCAGCCCACGGGGUGACCUGGAAGGUCCCCAUGGAUCCAGCUCCAGUUGCCCACAGGGUGACCUGUUCAAUAACACUGUAUAAACACACAUGCACAUUCUCACACUACACACACGCGCACAUGUCCACACACAUGCACUCACCACACAUGCACACGUGUGC